rnacentral:rRNA from 1 species
CUGGCGGCGUGCCUAAUACAUGCAAGUCGAACGGUCUUUCUAUGGAAGCUUGCUUCCACUGAGAAGAUAGUGGCGGACGGGUGAGUAACACGUGGGUAACCUGCCCAUAAGAGGGGGAUAACAUCCGGAAACGGGUGCUAAUACCGCAUAGUUUUCUUGAUCGCAUGAUCGAGAAAGGAAAGACGGCCUUUGUGCUGUCGCUUAUGGAUGGACCCGCGGCGUAUUAGUUAGUUGGUGAGGUAAUGGCUCACCAAGACGAUGAUACGUAGCCGACCUGAGAGGGUGAUCGGCCACAUUGGGACUGAGACACGGCCCAAACUCCUACGGGAGGCAGCAGUAGGGAAUCUUCCGCAAUGGACGAAAGUCUGACGGAGCAACGCCGCGUGAGUGAAGAAAGGUUUUCGGAUCGUAAAACUCUGUUGUCAGAGAAGAACAAGUUGGAGAGUAACUGCUCCAGCCUUGACGGUAUCUGACCAGAAAGCCACGGCUAACUACGUGCCAGCCGCCGC